CUCCGGACCAACCUAGCCUUCCUGCUGACUGGGAAAAGGAACAACAGGAAGCACCACAGAAAGAAGAGCAGGUGGAACCAGAGCAGGGAGCAGAGCCGCACUCAGAGAAGAAUGAGGAUGUACCCAAGGUGAACGGACUGAGCAGGAGACUCCAGGUCAGGAGUCUUGGGAAUAAGCCCUGGAUGGAAGGAAACCAGAGCUUUUGGAAGUUGGGAGCGGGCAGUGGAGGGGCUGCGGGCCACAAGUGCCCACCUGGGCCCAUCCCGCCCAGCCCCCUGUCCCUGCCUGCUCCUGGCUGCAGCCUGUGCCUCCUGUCUCCCACUGCCACCCACCCGGACUCUGUGACAAGGGCACGUUUCAUCUAUGCUCACGUGGAGUUGUGCCAGGGGAGGUGUGCAAACCAGGAGCUGCUCGAGUUCAUCAGCCACAGAGUCACGGGGAGGAAGAGCCCGCUUCCAACACCU